GUUAGCUGUGAUACUCUAGUACCUUUCCCAGACCUGAAGAAAUGCUCUGUGGUAGCUCAAAAGCUUGUCUCUCUUGCCAACACAAGUUGGUCCAAUAAAAGAUAUUACCUCACCCACCUUAUCUCAGAUGGAAAUGGACAUUUUCUGCCAUAGUUAUUCGGGCAUCCAAAAGCACUGAGGAGCCCAAAAGUAUCCUAAGACAAUCUGAAGACAGUUGCCCUCAAUAGGGGAAUAUUCUAAUAGAGGCAAGUACUUUAGCAUACUUCCCUUUUCCUACCAGCCUCGUCUCACUUUGGUUCAGCUUUAGCCAGCUAUUCUUCAUCUAGGUGCUGAUUUCAACCAAGUAUUGAGUAAGCUUGGAGACGUUACUGUUUGCAUUCGACAUAAAGGGGAUAUAGAGAUGGCUAUUUUUGUACUGCUGACAUUUCAGCCCAAGUUGUCUCACCAACUCUUUUAACAGUUUCAUAUUGAUAUGAUUGAUAAAGGAGUGGAGAGAAGAUCAAGCCUUGUGGAACUCUCCAGGUGAAGAUUUUUGGAGGUAGAGGAACAGUGUCCCAUAAUAAUCCUCUGGGUUUGGUUUGAGAGGAAGAAUCUGAGCUCUCCUAGGAGUGUCUGUUCCCACUACAGCUUCUUGGAGAUGGGACAGGAAUCUUUUGUGAUGAGCCGGUAUUAGAUACCCGAGACCGGUCCCUCAGCAUUAUGGAUAUACUUCCCUUGUCCACAACCAGGUAAUCUUCCAGUGCAAAAAGUUCUCUCUCUUCACCGGGUCCUGGCUAAGAGGGAUCAAGGAUACUGGCAUAUGACAGGUAACACUGGAAACUGUCCGACUAGCUACUAGAUUAGUUUGCUUAGGCGAAGGGGGCUUAGACACUGUGAAGUCUUUGGUGUCAAGCAGUGGUUUAUUCUAAUGUUGGUUGGCAUGUUGCCUGGGUUAGGGUGCAUGUUAGAUUUCUCUAAUCAAAGGAGGUAUUGACAAUCUGAUAGUAGGAAUCUCAGAUGUUCCCAUAUCUCUUCCUAUCCAGGAAGGACAGGAGUUGGAGUCACAGGUGGGCAGUGAGCUGAUUGUCAGUGCUUCCAUGAAGCUCUGUGGAAGAAGGGCGAGUGUAUCUGGUCCUGCUCUUGACCUUGUUGCUCACCCAGGUGGUCUUCCUGGAUGAGGUUGAUCUUCUCUGUGAAAUAAGGUCAGACGGCAUUUUUUUCUGCUCCUCUGGGAAGACUUUUCUAUCUGGUGGCUUAUAGAUGAAUAGGAUGCCCUGGUGUGUGGUAGGCCUAAUUGACAGUGUUGCCAUUCUUAUGAUGUACCAGAUGUCUAGAAAAUGGACUGCUCAACUCCCCAGGUGAGUGAGGUAAUAAUAUCUUUUAUGGGACUGACACAGUUGCAACAACAUGGCAUACAACUCCCCAAGGGUCAGAGUUAAAGUGAAUUGUUAGAUAUAGCUUGUAAAUCAGUAGGAAAAACACUUUGGGAUUCUCUGGGAUGAAAGGUGCUCUCUAAAUGUAAGAGAAAUGUCCUGAGAGGUCUCAGUCUUGCCCCUUCAUAGCUGUGCCAGAACCCUGUGCUUUGCUGAAUGGUAGAAGCUCCCCCUGCAGCUGUGAAAUCUGAGUCCUGCCUAUUUGCUGCUCAUCUGAAACAUCAUCACUGUUAGAAAUUCUUUCGCUAAAUAAAAUUACAGGAAGUGGGAAGUCUUGAAAUGAAACCAGACUUAAGAUUUCCUACAGAGGUGUCUGCACCCUGUGUGUGUGAGCCUUUCACUGUGUCAGUGGUGGUUCCUGUUUUAGGGGAUAUUACAUAUGACAUGACAUGGCAUGGUUUGUAGCAGGAUACUGAGUUGUACGGUCUGAGUUUCCUUGUGGGUAAAAUAUUUGCAAAUGCUGACAUUUCUUCCAUGACUGCCUUGUGGUGAUUCUCCAAGAUAGCAAAUUCUAAACUGGAUGUCCACAAUAAAAAAAACCCCCCCUUUUUUUUUUUUUGCAGACAAUUGGGGGGCUUUCCCCAGCAAAAAACAAGAGCCAACUUGUUCAGUUUUAGUUAUCUAUUGCUCCAGGAUAAACACUCUGUUUUGGCUUUUCUGUUAUGACUCAUGUAGAAAGCCACAAAAUGAAAACGUCCCCCUGCACAUGGGGGUUCAUAGUUUGAAAAUGUUUCUCUGAUAGUAAGAAAGUCUCCACUUCCAAAGCAAAGGUUGCAGGGGCUUAAGCUGUUUAGACAUCUGUAGGGGAGCUGAAUUUUCAGUUACUAAGAUGGCUAAGAACAGCCGGCUUGUUGCGCUAGUGACCUGUGUGUGUCAGUCAUGCCAUCCCUCUGUUUCUCCUGUCAUGUUUAUUCUGUGAUUGCCAGAGGUAGGAAUGUGAAAGACCCCUGUGCACCCCGUAGGGUGUUCUACUCAUCCCCUACUGGGGAGCUGGGAUUUUAUUACAUUUGGAGCCAUUGCUUUGGACUUGAAGUGCAUCAUUGCUGCUGGGACAAUUUUAAAAGGGAAGGCUCUUUAAGCUACUAUAAUCCCAGUGACAAACCAGAGAGCCCAUACUAAUGGCUGAUCUGAAACUCCAGCAUUUGCAGACUUUUCCUCUGGUUUUUCUCCUUUGCUCUCUCUUGGCACUUUGGGAGGGUGCUGAAAUCCUGCGUCCUGGCUCUGCACUGCACCUCCAUACAUUCAAACCUUCAGGUAUAAAUCUCUACUCAGCAAGUAUUGUCAUAAACCACAUGCAAAACACACUCUCCUGACAGGCCAA